rnacentral:rRNA from 1 species
UACGAAGGGGGCUAGCGUUGUUCGGAAUUACUGGGCGUAAAGGGCGCGUAGGCUGUGCUGUAAGUCAGGCGUGAAAGGCCCGGGCUCAACCUGGGAAUGGCGCUUGAUACUGCGGCGCUGGAAGGCGGGAGAGGAUGGCGGAAUUCCCAGUGUAGAGGUGAAAUUCGUAGAUAUUCGCAAGAACACCAGUGGCGAAGGCGGCUCACUGGCCCGGUACUGACGCUGAGGUGCGAAAGCGUGGGGAGCAAACAGG